CCAAUGUAUUUCUUUUAGCUUCAAUCAGUUCAAGAGUCUCUAGAUACCAAUGAGUGCUUACCUCAGCCAAGUCAGGGCUCUCUCUGCAGACAAACCUGGGUCCCAUGAACCUUGAUAGACAUCUUUGAAAUGAACACACUGGGGCUGCUGGACUUGUUCUCCUUCCCAAGUUCCAGCUUGAAAAGGGGCCACAGGACUUGGUAAAAACAGAAGUGCAAGUGCCUGGAAACUCAACUCUUCCCAUCAAAGGAGGCGACGUGGAAGUUGCUUCCCAUGGAGCAGCCACACUCAAUGGGGACACGCAGUCAAUGCCACUGAACACAAAGCCUGGGUCACACUGGCAGCCAUCCUGGCACGGAGUCGAGCAGCUGUCAGGCUGGGCAGGCCCGGUACAAGAGCUGGGACAGGAGGAGCCGCAGAGCUCGUAAUGGCUGUGGAGAGGACAGGCCAGCUCUGGAAGAAAACAGGUGGGGGUUAAAUAAUUGGGAAAACAUUACUAUUCUGGAGCAUUUCCAACCAGAAGAGGACCAAGGGAGCAGAGAGAGGGUGGCAGGGGCCAAGGCUGUACCCUGAAGAACGGCAAUGAGCUGGAGGAGCCACAGGAUUCGGCAAAGACGGACACACAGGGCCCAGCUCGUGGAAAACCUCCAUGGAUACCUGUUGAAAGAAUGAAUGAACGUGUCGAAGCCUUCUC